GAUGAACGCUGGCAGCGUGCCUAAUACAUGCAAGUCGAGCGAACAGACGAGGAGCUUGCUCCUCAGACAUUACCGGCGGACGGGUGAGUAGCACGUGACUAACCUACCUAUAUGACUGGGCUACAUUCGGGAAACCAUAACUCAUGCCGAAGACUAUAUUGAGCCGAGCGUUUCGAUGGUAGAAGACGGUUUUGCUGUCACUUAUAGCUGAAUCCGCACCGCAUUGGCUAGUUGGUAAGGUAACGGCUUACAAAGGCAACGGUGCGUAGCCGACCAGAGAGGGUGAUCGGCCACACUGGAACGGAGACACGGUCCCGACUCCUACGAGAGGCAGCAGUAGGGAAUCUGCAGCAAUGGGCUAAAGCCUAACGGAGCAACGGCGCGAGAGUGAUGAAGGUCUUCUGAGCGUAAAACUCUGGUAUUAGGGAAGAACAGAUGUUUAAGCAACUAUGCACGUAUUGACGGUACCUAAUCAGAAAGCCACGGCUAAAUACGUG
rnacentral:rRNA from 1 species